GUGGGGAAUAUUGGACAAUGGGCGCAAGCCUGAUCUAGCCAUGCCGCGUGAGCGAUGAAGGCCUUAGGGUUGUAAAGCUCUUUCGUGGGGGAAGAUAAUGACUGUACCCCAAGAAGAAGCCCCGGCUAACUCCGUGCCAGCAGCCGCGGUAAUACGGAGGGGGCUAGCGUUGUUCGGAAUUACUGGGCGUAAAGCGCACGUAGGCGGACUGGAAAGUCAGGGGUGAAAUCCCGGGGCUCAACCCCGGAACUGCCUUUGAAACUCCCAGUCUUGAGUUCGAGAGAGGUGAGUGGAAUUCCGAGUGUAGAGGUGAAAUUCGUAGAUAUUCGGAGGAACACCAGUGGCGAAGGCGGCUCACUGGCUCGAUACUGACGCUGAGGUGCGAAAGCGUGGGGAGCAAACAGGAUUAGAAACCCGAGUAGUCC
rnacentral:rRNA from 1 species